UUGUCGGCAGCCGCCGGGCGCCGCGCAAGGACCUCGGGAGGCGGGAGCCGCGUCGCUGCGCACGGGCUGCCCGGCCCAGGUCCGUGCCGCGGAGCCGGGAUGAGGGCGCCCGCGCUGCUGCCGCCCGCGCUGCUGACCUGCUGCGGCUGGCUGCUCGCCCCAGUGAACAGCAUUCACCCGGAAUGCCGGUUUCAUCUGGAAAUACAGGAGGAAGAAACAAGAUGUGCAGAGAUUUUAAGGGCCCAAACAGAAACAUUCAAAGCCUGCAGCGGCAUCUGGGACAACAUCACGUGCUGGCUCCCCGCGGAUGUCGGCGAGACUGUCACGGUGCCCUGUCCAAAACUGUUCAGCAACUUUUAUAGCAAACCAGGAAACAUAAGCAAGAACUGCACCAGGGACGGGUGGUCAGAGACGUUCCCGGAUUUCAUGGACGCGUGCGGCUACAAUGACCCCGAGGAUGAGAGCAAGAUCACGUUUUAUAUUCUGGUGAAGGCCAUUUACACCCUGGGCUACAGUGUCUCUCUGAUUUCCCUUACAACCGGAAGCAUAAUUCUUUGCCUCUUCAGGAAGCUGCAUUGCACCAGGAACUACAUCCACCUGAACCUGUUCCUCUCCUUCAUCCUGCGGGCCAUCUCGGUGUUGGUCAAGGACGACGUUCUGUACUCCAGCUCAGGGACUCUGCACUGCCCCGACCAGCCGUCAUCCUGGGUGGGCUGCAAGCUGAGCCUGGUCUUCUUCCAGUAUUGCAUCAUGGCCAACUUCUACUGGCUUCUGGUGGAGGGGGUGUACCUCCACACCCUCCUGGUGGCCAUCUUCUCCCCCAGCCGGCGCUUUGUGGCCUAUCUCCUGAUUGGAUGGGGCAUCCCCACCGUCUGCACAGGUGCGUGGACUGCGGCCAGGCUUUCACUAGAAGACACAGGUUGCUGGGAUACCAAUGACCACAGUGUUCCCUGGUGGGUUAUACGAACACCAAUUUUAAUUUCUAUUAUAGUCAAUUUCAUCCUUUUUGUUAGUAUUAUACGAAUUUUACUGCAGAAGUUGACAUCCCCAGAUGUCGGCGGCAAUGACCAGUCACAGUACAAACCACAGGGUCCAGGGGACACCUCAUGUCACGCCCUGUACUUAAUAAUAACUCAAGUGAAGUUUGUUGCCUGGAUGACAACAUGAACAUGGCUGUCAUCAUCUCCCUCGUGGGGAAGAGAAGUUAAGUAAAUCACUCCCCAUCAUCCAGCUGAUUAAUAAGGGUCUGAGAACUCCGUAAAGGAACUUGAGGCUCAUAUAAAUUUCUAUCAAGAAUUUAUAAAGAAAAGAUAAAGCCCACAACUCGAGUAUAAAAUAAAGCCAGUUUAGUGUGGAGUGGUUGGUCCAGCUGAUAGGAGCCUUGGAUACAGGCAGAUUGGGGUUGGAAUUGCAGCUGCAGAAGCUGCGUGACCCUGGGUGGGUUACCUGACUGCCCCUGCAGGGUGGGCCCCCCCUCAGCUGUCUCCUUCCCUCCCCUCCUUUAGACAGCAGGGUGGACCUGGGGAGACAGGUGGCAUCCCCUGUGGUCAGCAGCCCAGUGCUGGGUUAUGUACCAGCUGGAGGCCUGGGGGAGGUAACUGCACUGCUCUGCCUCGGUUUCCUCACCUGUGAAGUGGAAAUAAUAAUAAUACUUGUCACAAGGUUAUAAGGACUGAUAGAGUUAAUAUUCAAAAGACAUUUAGUGGCUGGCACCAGCAAAGUGUUGCGAUAGAGUUUGGUAAACAUAUACAUAUAACUGUGCCCUGAGGUAUGACAGUCUCUGCCCAGCCCACAUCAGAGGUCAGGCCUAGAGAUAGGAUUCCACGUCAGACCACAAAGGAUAAAGUGGUUUCAGCCAGACCUCCCAAGUAGCAUUUUUACUGCUCAGGUGAGAAGCUGGGCUGGUUCCUGGACUCACCCCAUGCCUGCAGCUCAGGCUGCCCUUCAAACCGAACUUCCAGUUUCUGCACGUCUUAUUCAGGGCCAUGCUGACCUUUCCUCUGGGCUCUUUGGGAGCGUUCCUAAGCGGAUCUUAGAGAUGGAUGCUUUUAUUUUGGAAACAAAAUUAAGUGGGGAUGAUAGAAUCUGUUCUUCUUCCAGGAUAACAAAAAGGCAGAGCACAUCUUUUCUGUGUAUCUGUCUCGUAACAGUAGUGGCAGAUCUCCAGGCACAGGGCCCCAGGGGUCCAGCUUCUAAAUCCCUUUUCUAGAAACUAGCACAACAGCAAAUUCCAGAUGGAUCAAUAGUGAGAAUCCAGGCAGGUUCUCUCUAACAUUUAACUAAAGGGCAGCUCCCUGCAGAAUCCCAGCCUUCACUCACUGGGCUGGCAGAGACCCGAGGUAGUGAAGGCAGCAAGUGCACCGUGGGUGUUGCAAAGUCAAAUGUUCAAAGCUGCACGUGGUGGCAGCUGGGUGGUCAGUGAGGCCUUCCCUGCCCACCAAGGCCCAGGGCAUGCUCACAUCUGGUGCAGAGCGGCUGGGAUUCAGAGUUUGUGCAGAUUGCCCAGUACAGAGGAAAUCUUGUUGUAAGUGCCACAGUGCCUCAAAAAUAUGUAAAGCAAAGGGUGACUUUUUUCCGAGUUGUGGGCUGGGGUCCACCAAGCAGAGGAGACGCGGAGGAGCACGGAGGUGCCUCCCGCCUCAGUUCCCACCGCUCAGAGUUGCCAGGAUGAGGCGGGUUGUUGGAGCGGCUGCUGGUUCUGGGGUCACCCAGGGGCCUGGACAUGCACACGUACCACCUGGGGGCCCAGGCCCCUGCACUCCUGACCAGCCCCGCGGUGGUCCCAAAGCUCCUGACCCUUAGAACGUGCUGGGCUUGCUACACCAAAUGUGGCCAGGUUGAGUCACCUGGGAAGGUGCUGGGCCACCUGCAGAGACCUGAUUUAACUGGAUGAGGGGCAGCCUGGACUUGGAAGAGGUUGAAAAGCCCCCAGAUGAUUCUCAUGUGCAGCCGUGAGAGUCAGAAGUGCCUUAUAGAAGUCGUCCUCAAAGUGGGGUCUCGACAGCAGCCUCGGCAUCUCUGGGCACCUGACAGAAGAAUUCUCAGGUCUGCGUUUUAAAACGACCUCCAGGUGGUUCUGGUGCAGGUAGGGCUGAGAAGCCCUGACUUAAUGUGUCCUGUACCUGCUCGGGGAGCGGGAGGGGCUUCGAAGGCGGGGGGUGGGGGAGGAUUGAGGUCAGGUAUUUUAUUUUCAACACAAAUGCAGUGAGAAGAAAAUCUGCUCUUUGAUUAGGGAGGGUAAGAGCUCUUUGAUAGGCAGAGAAAUUAGAUCUGGUCCAGGUUCCCUGAUUCCUCAGACUCUGUGCGAUCCAGAGCAGGGUCGCCUGCCAGGACCCAUAAACAGCCGU